CCUACGGGAGGCAGCAGUGAGGAAUAUUGGUCAAUGGACGAGAGUCUGAACCAGCCAAGUAGCGUGAAGGAUGACUGCCCUAUGGGUUGUAAACUUCUUUUAUAUGGGAAUAAAAUGUUCCACGUGUGGGAUUUUGUAUGUACCAUAUGAAUAAGGAUCGGCUAACUCCGUGCCAGCAGCCGCGGUAAGACGGAGGAGCCGAGCUUUAUCCGGAUUUAUUGGGUUUAAUGGGAGCGUAGGUGGAUUGUUAAGUCAGUUGUGAAAGUUUGCGGCGCAAACGUAAAAUUGCAGUUGAAACUGGCAGUCUGGAGUACAGGAGAGGUGGGCGGAAUGCGUGGUGUAGCGGUGAAAUGCUUAGAUAGCACGAAGAACUACGAUUGCGAAGGCAGUUCACUGGACUGCAACUGACACUGAGGCUCGAAAGUGUGGGUAACAAACAGGAUUAGAUACCCCUGUAGUC
rnacentral:rRNA from 1 species